CCCGCGGCAGCGCGUGCAGGGAAACCCCGUCGUGAGGGUGCAGGAAACAUUUAUCAGUGUCUGCAGAGAGAGGGCAGAGGAUAGACCAGGUUCUGCUCGGGGUGGGGGGCCUGGCGAUGGCACAAGAGGAACGGGCAGGAACUGAUGCCCAGGAAGUCCCACCUGGACACGAGAAGAACUUCUUUGCUGUGCAGUGAACCCAGCACUGAACAGGCUGCCCUGGGAGGGUGUGGAGUCUUCUCAGUGGGGAUAUUCCAGAACCUUCUGGACACAAUGCCAUGUGCUCUGGCAUGGCCCUGCUGGAGCAGGGAGGUGGGACCAGAUGGCCCUCUUUGGUCGCUUCCAGCCUGACCCACUCUGUGGUUCCAUGAGAUGUCCAGGGUACCGUGUUGUGCUCUCACAGCACUUGCUCCACACUCUGGUGCUGAGCCCUCUGUGGCAAAGUGGCCUUUAAGUAGGGAAGCUCUCUACAGCUUUCCAAAGGAGAGAAUUCCAUCCUCGGGGGAUUUUGCCGUUGAAUUCGAAGUCUGGGAAAGUCAAAGCAGCAUAAACACCGCACGGCCCAAGAAGAGGCAGCCGGCUGGCACAGAUAUGCCAAAUGCCGGGACGGCACCUCCCGCUGUGCCCCACAUAUCGUACAAAGAACCUCCCCGGCGCUCCAGAUGCCUCCCGUUAUCUGCCCUGCAAGAGCAGCUGCUGCGGCGCCGAUAGCCCGAGCGCUGCCUGCGAAGCAGCCUUAAUGGCACAAAAAACCCGUCCCUGGCUAAAGCUGCGAGGCAGAGAACAUGAUUGUUCCGAAAAGGGCCGGCCCGAUUUCAAUUGUUCCGCGCGCAGGUAACGACUGUAACGCAAAAUAAUCCUCAGUCCGAGCAUCGCCCCCCUGAGCGCAGAGAGUCGCGCCGUGUGUCGGCCACGGGGACGCCGCAACUGAGGUAAAAACCGCUGCGAACGCAGCCGAGGGAGGGGGAAGCUUAACACUAAAGCAAAUACCUGAAAAGACUGGAGCAACUGAGCUUGGUUUAACGCUUAAUCAGAUCCAGAAGAGCUCUGACCUACAUACUCGCAGCAUCCCCGGGCUGGGGCUCAGCCGGCUGAGCGGGGGAAGGGGUUUGAACGCGCCGAGCGGGGGGAGCAGCUCCCGGACGCAGCCCUGCCCCGGCUCCACAGCCCCGGAUUCCCUUCCUGGCUGCUUCUCUCAGGCAAAAAUCACAGCCCCGGAUUCCC
rnacentral:lncRNA from 1 species